GGGAUGCCAGGCCAGAGCUAUCCAUCAAAUUAGUUGGGACCUGGAUGGCAGGUUUUGAACAGACCUCUGAAUCACCACUGGUGUCUUAUAGAGGGAUCAUAACCAGAGUGAAUUUCAAAGAUUCCCUGCUAACAUCUACCAAGGCUUUUUGUCCACUUUUCUCCUGUGAAAAACACAAUGACGAAGCACGUUGCCCUCUUGCUCAUUCUUUUCCCCGUGUGUGGACAUCUGCUGGACAUCAAGUUUUAUAAUGACCCUUACAAGUGUACCUGGGAAGAGGCAGUAGCAUUCUGCAGGAAGAACCACACUGACUUGGUCCGAGUGAGAACUGCAGAAGAGGAUGAAGCUCUACAGUACUCUGGAUGGAUCGGUUUGUCCCGGAAGGAUGCAACAAGUCCAUGGAAAUGGUCCAGAGGAGGCAAAAUAGCCAUCUUCACACCAUGGGAUGGCGCACCAAAAAAGGAUGAAAACUGUGUGAACAGAAAACGCGACGGAAAAUGGGAAAGCAAGAAGUGUGAUGAAAAACGUAAUUUCCUAUGUUAUGAGGAAAAGCUGAUUCUGGUGAAGGAGAAUAAAACAUGGGAGGAGGCAUUAGAACACUGCAGGUCUCUGGAUGGAGUGGUCACAGAAGAUCCAGCCUCUUCAUACAGGAACCACGGCUAUGACCUGGCCUCCCUGAUCACUCCAGAUGACUACACCACUGCACGAUGCAUUUACAUGUCCCAAUUCGAAGUGUACUCCAAAUGCGCCGAUUUCCCCAAAUAUCAAGCGUGGUCCGUGUCGCUACCCGAUCCGUACCGGAAACCCGAUCGGUACCCCGCAUGCGCGAAAGGUGUCUACUUCCGGUCGUAGCGUUUUACGAUA
ensembl:lncRNA